AGGAGGAACAACCCCAGUGGUGGGGCCAGCUCUGGAGCCCUGGAGUCAGCCCCCGCAGUAACUACGGAGCUCUCCGUCUGCAGGGCCUGGAGGCUCCGGGCGGGG
rnacentral:pre_miRNA from 1 species